rnacentral:rRNA from 1 species
UACGUAGGGACCAAGCGUUGUUCGGAUUUACUGGGCGUAAAGGGCGCGUAGGCGGCGCAAUAAGUCACUUGUGAAAACUCCGGGCUUAACUCGGAGCGGCCAAGUGAUACUGUUGUGCUAGAGUGCAGAAAGGGCAAUCGGAAUUCUCGGUGUAGCGGUGAAAUGCGUAGAUAUCGAGAGGAACACCUGAGGCGAAGGCGGGUCUCUGGACAGUUCCUGACGCUGAGGGACGAAAGCUAGGGGAGCAAACGGG